CAGAUGCUAAUACCGGAUAAAAGCUACUUCGCAUGAAAGAGUUUAAAAAGGGCGGCGUAAAGCUGUCGCUAAAAGGAUGGGACCUGCGAUGCAUUAGCUAGUUGGUAAGGGUAACGGGCUUUACCCAAGGCGAUGAUGCAUAGCCCGAGUUGAGAGACUGAUCGGGCCACAUUGGGACUGAGACACGGACCCAAAACUCCUACGGGGAGGCAGCAGUAGGGAAUCUUCCACAAUGGACGAAAGUCUAAUGGAGCAACGCCGCGUGAGUGAAGAAGGUUUUCGGAUCGUAAAAGCUCUGUUGUUGGUGAAGAAGGAUAGAGGUAGUAACUGGCCUUUAUUUGACGGUAAUCAACCAGAAAGUCACGGCUAACUACGUGCCAGCAGCCGCGGUAAU
rnacentral:rRNA from 1 species